rnacentral:rRNA from 1 species
GACGAACGCUGGCGGCGUGCCUAAUACAUGCAAGUCGAGCGAAUCAGCAGGAGCUUGCUCCUGUUGGUUAGCGGCGGACGGGUGAGUAACACGUGGGCAACCUGCCUGUAAGACUGGGAUAACACCGGGAAACCGGUGCUAAUACCGGAUAAUCCUUUUCCUCUCAUGAGGAAAAGCUGAAAGUCGGUUUCGGCUGACACUUACAGAUGGGCCCGCGGCGCAUUAGCUAGUUGGUGAGGUAACGGCUCACCAAGGCGACGAUGCGUAGCCGACCUGAGAGGGUGAUCGGCCACACUGGGACUGAGACACGGCCCAGACUCCUACGGGAGGCAGCAGUAGGGAAUCUUCCACAAUGGACGAAAGUCUGAUGGAGCAACGCCGCGUGAGCGAUGAAGGCCUUCGGGUCGUAAAGCUCUGUUGUUAGGGAAGAACAAGUACCGGAGUAACUGCCGGUACCUUGACGGUACCUAACCAGAAAGCCACGGCUAACUACGUGCCAGCCGCCGCGGUAACAC